GCGGCCUUCUGGGACUCCGCAAACUCCCGUUCUCCCUCCCCCCUCCCCCUUGCCAUUCCCUUUGCCUUCCGGGCGCCAAGUCUCUCUGGCCUCCAAGGUGAACCCAACUCCCCAGCGCGCCCCGGGUUCCCGGGUCGGGCCGGCUUCAGGCGGUGGGGAGCGGGAUCCCGGGCCCCGGGCGGGCGGGAGGGACGGGACGCGGUGCAGUGUUGUUUUUUCCCCCGCCAAUAUUGCACUCGUCCCGGCCUCCGGCCCCCCCGGCCCCCCGGCCUCCCCGCUACCCCUAGCGGGGCAGCCCCCGCCCUCCUGGCUCUCCAUCCCGGCGGAUCUUUGAUAGACUGGAGUGUCGCCGCUGCCACCGUGAACGGGAAAAUGGGUCAUGGAGGAGUGACUUCACCAACAUCACUCAUAGGUGCUUGUGUCCGUGGUGAGAAGGGUGAUGGAGAGAAGUGGCUGCAGUUCCCACCCAUGGAGAGGUCACUGGUGAAUCCCAGCUAAAGAGGAAGGACAGGCCCGGCCUGAGUCCCACAGGCUUACCAUCUGAGUCCUUCUGAUUGGGAUUGGGUACCAGGCGGCAGUUAUCGGGACCAGGAGGCACAUAAUCUGGGAUGCCAUCAUUGUCAUCAUCCCCAUCACACUCAUCUCCAAGUCCAUCGUUAUCAGAGUCCAGCUGGGAGCUAUUUGGCAGCUGUGGGCAGUUGUCCUUGGUGUCCUGAUGCCCAUCCCCAUCGCUAAUCAGAAGAACAGGUUGGUGAAAGUCCCGAACUUUGUCUCCCCACCCAGAGGACAACUGGCCAGGAAAUCUGCCUGUUUCUUGUCUCACCCUCUAGUCCACACUCUGCCUAACACUACGCCCUACCUCACAUUCCUAUUGACAUCUGCUGCAGGUAAUCUCUCCUCACCCAGGCCAACGUCCACAAGCCUGCCUCCCUAUUUCACAGAGACUUCCUAGCUUCCCUGCUUCAUCCCCACCUGAUCCAAAUUCUCACAGGUCCCCCAGCCACCCCUUCAGCCCCAGGCCUGCACCAUCCCCAUCCACGUCGUUGUCACAGGCAUCUCCUUCCCCAUUGCCAUCUGUGUCCUUCUGGUCAUUGUUGGGAACGUUGGGGCAAUUGUCACAGGCAUCACCAAAUGAAU
rnacentral:lncRNA from 10 species